GACGGAGGGUGCUAGCGUUGUUCGGAAUUACUGGGCGUAAAGGGCGCGUAGGCGGCUGCUCAAGUCGGGUGUGAAAGCCCGGGGCUCAACCCCGGAACUGCCUUCGAUACUGGCGAUCUUGAGUCCGGGAGAGGUGAGUGGAACUCCGAGUGUAGAGGUGAAAUUCGUAGAUAUUCGGAAGAACACCAGUGGCGAAGGCGGCUCACUGGCCCGGUACUGACGCUGAGAUACGAAAGCGUGGGGAGCAAACAGG
rnacentral:rRNA from 1 species